UCAAUCCUCUCCAAUACAAAUGCUCAUGUGUUAGAAAUGUUUAACUCGUACAAAUAUAGUGUUCUAGAAGUCACAGAAGGCUGAUACAAGGUGUUAGAUAAUGUGUUACAAAGAAAACCAGGAUAAACUCUUUAACCUUGAAAAGGCAUAAGAGGGAACAGCAUGCAAGUAUACUAGAUAUUGAAAGGUCUAUACAAGGUCUAUUCUGGCACUGCUUCAAGGCUGUCCCUCAAGACUGAGGAUGACUCUGGAGCUGUGGUACUGAGGUGACAAUACAGUCCAGGGCUGGAUCCACAAACGAUGUCACAAGACAAGCAGAUGCUGUUUGAAGAGCACAUGUAGAUUCCUGUGCGACUGGGUAAAAAUGCUUCUCCCUUCUUUUGUGUGACUGAUGAAAACUGGACAGCAG